rnacentral:pre_miRNA from 1 species
UUAAUAUUCCUUCCGUCCCAAAAUUCUUGUCUUAGCUUCGUCUAGAUCGGCGUAUCUAGACGAAGCUAAGACAAGAAUUUUGGGACGGAGGGAGUAUGCG